rnacentral:lncRNA from 1 species
GCCACUACAGAAUAAGUCUUGAGUCAAAAGUGAAGAAAACACAACAUUGCAAAUAUAAUAGUUUAUCAGUCCAGCUCAUUGUCAUUACUAUGUCACUACUAUGCUCCCUCUGGGCAGCGGUGCAUUACGACUGUCUCUUGCCCCCUCUCUCCCUACUCAGACUCAGCUCCCUCCCAGAUUUUCUUGGGCUUAGCUACUUAUCAAAUAGCAUUUCUUUUUCCAUUCAGAAGCAAUAUUAGGCUGCAUUUGACAAAGACGCUUUACUGUGAGUACAAGUUUGAUGAAGUGACAAAUAUUUAAGGAAAAUGAAUUAAAUGAGCAUGUGUUUUUCUUUCAUACGUGAGGCAUCAAUGGUAGAGAAAAAUAUCUAACUUAUAAAUGAAAAGUUAUAUGAAAAGAAAAUGAGCAGUAAUCUAAUUGGGUUAAUUAGAUUAUGUUACACCUAUGGAUCCACAUUCUGGCUUCCGUAUUUACUAAUUAUAUAACUUGGGGCAAGUUGCUUAACUUUUGUGCCUCACUUUCAUUUACCAUGAAAAUAGAAUCACGAUUAUACUUACUGUAUGUGUUUCGAAAAAGAACACAUGAAAUAAUUUGCAUAUAUAAGAAAAAGAGCUCACAAGAGUGACUGCACAUAGUGAGUACGUAUAAAUGUCAGCUAUUGUUAGGUUUGAUGACCAAAAUCACAAACCUGAGUCUUUUUAGGGAUGCACGUUGGUUUACUCAGGGCUUAUAAAUACUCUCUUAAUCACAAAACUGUUCUCUCUGGGUAAGACGCCUCAACAUGUUUAAGGAGGAACAAUGUGAGAAUUAGUGUUAAACUAGUACAUGACAAAAUAUUUAAGAAGUGGGAUAUAGCGUUCCAGAAAAUUGAUUUAGAAUGCACUGUGGUUCAAGAGCAUGAUACAAGGCCUCCUUUUCUUCCUCCUAACGCUCACUAGUCUCUUUCAUAGGAUGGGACAGAGCUGGUCCACUGAGGGCUGCAUAGGCCCAAGGGGAUGUGAGCUGCAGAUGACAUCAGCUGUGACUUCCUGCAUGCCCCAUUCUCUGGGAUUGGACUGAAGCUUUAUCUUGGGAGCCUGGAGCACUUUGUCGAGGUCUUGGAUGAAAGAUUGGGAGAUGAGGUGAAUUGGUGGGAAGGAUGAUUUCAGGAAUCCUGUCUUCUAAUGUUGAAUUUGGCAGAAAUCAACAAUCCAAUUCAGGAUAAAGCCCAGGAAAUCUGGUACCUGGA